rnacentral:lncRNA from 1 species
GUUUAUAAUAUUAUAAUUAAUAUGCAUGGGUUUAUAAUAUUAUUAAGGAAGAUUUGAAUUGGAGCUUAUUAAGGAAGAUUUGAAUUGAAGUUCAUUAAGGAAGGUUGGUUUUCUAAGAAAUCUGUUUUGGUUUUAAAAUGUCCAUUUAUUAAGGAAACAGGUAGUAACAAAUCUUUAACAAAUCAUAUCAAUCUCCUUUAAUAAAGUU